rnacentral:rRNA from 1 species
UACGUAGGGGGCAAGCGUUGUCCGGAUUUAUUGGGCGUAAAGAGCGUGUAGGCGGUUUGGUAGGUCCGCUGUGAAAACUCGAGCUCAACCUCGAGACGCCGGUGGAAACCAUCAGACUAGAGUCCGGAAGAGGAGAGUGGAAUUCCUGGUGUAGCGGUGAAAUGCGCAGAUAUCAGGAGGAACACCGGUGGCGAAGGCGGGUCUCUGGGCCGAUACUGACGCUGGAGGAGCGAAAGCGUUGGGGGAGCGAACAGGA